UUCUGCAUGUGAGUCAUGAAAAAGGACGUUUCAUGUAUUUCCUGAUGCCUUUUUGUUGUUAUAAUUUAAAUAUUGAUUGCUUGUGAACACUUCGUUUUGUUUGUGUUUUGAUCCGUUCAGAAACAGUAUUUAGGACUUCAUAGUAUCUGAUGGUAAAUAUAGAAUAGACAUAUAUAUUACUUAUAUGAAAACUGAAUUUAUUAAAGGAGCCAUCUUGAGAUACACCUGUCUAAUAGUACUUUGGUAAGUGUGUUUUUAUAUAUAUAUGCAUAAAAAUGGUGUUACUUUAAAUGUCAGUAUUUCUUUAUCAAAACUCUUAAAACUGUGUGUUUCUUAAUGAAUGGAACUGUGAAAUGUUUUGUCAUGUUUUUAGCAAAGUGAGCACAUAAAGGAACAGUGCUUUCCAAAAUUUUUAACAAAACUUAUUAAACACUUAAUUUCUUAAAUCACUGUGUCUAUAGACAGGUAACAAUUUUAUGGAUAGAAGUUUAAACUGUGUAUCUAACUGAAUUUACUAAUUUUUUUCUCAUUUUCCACUAAGAUAUUUCUCUUGCAGGGGAAUCUUUCAUUGAGAUGAUUGAAAUCGCUGCAGUGAGAAUGGAAAUUACUUAGGCUCCUUUCCUUUUAAAAGCUGCAUGCAAGAACCGUGGUGCUCACAGCUUCAAGUUUAUACAUCAUAUAGAUCUUUGACAAGGAAGAAAAAAGGUUUCUCUGCACCGGGGAUUUGUUUUGACUUCAGGCUUUGCAGGCCUGCUACUGGUGCGGUCACACAGGUACAAACAUGACAUAGAUGAAUAUGAAUCAAAGUUGUUAUAAUUAAUAAAUCUGCAUAAUUUUACCAUGUAGAAUUUCAGCCUGGUGGAUGUGCUAGUAGAAAUCACAGUUUUCUUAUCUGCCCAUUAUGGAUUUAAACUGGUGAAAUCACUGAUGGCUAUAAUUUCCAAUAUAGUUCAGAUCUGAGCAGUUCUCAAUAGCAAAGCUGUGCAGUAUUAGAUCAUUUACAGCUUUUCAUAAACACUUCUGUGUGUACAUUUACCUACUACAGGUCUCUUAAAAUAUGUGGCCAAAAAGAGGUUGACUACUCAGAAAAAAAUACGCUCUGUGCCUCAAAGUUUUUAAUAGCUCUCUUACUGAGGCUUCUUUAAGUAGCACUGUCUUAUAUUUAUCUGUAACUACUUAAUACUAAGACCUGCACGUACAUAUCAGCCAUUUGAAAACUUCAAAAUGCUUGGAAAGACCAGACUCAGUGGGUUAUAAAAGACAUUAUUCUUCCACUUACCUUCCCCUACCUUUAAAAGUCACUGAUUUUUGUUAGCAUGCUGCAGACUGUGGUGCUUGCAGAGGGCCACCCAUCCUGUUACUCUUGUAGAUCCAGUAUUUUAAUGUAUGUAGGCUGUUUCUCCAGGACUUCUAUGAGAAAGGAGAUCUGAAAGAUUCGAGAGCAUGCAACAAGUAAGUCUACUUGCAUGGCUUUGUCAAAGUCCAGUGGCCAACCUGCUUGUUCUGGAUUACUUCAUUGUGCCAGUGCAGGCCUUUGGGACAAUAGUGAAACAGAGUGUUUCCUUCUGGUUCACCCCUGUCACUGACACAGGGCAGGGGAUGGUAGGGAGUUGGAAGGAGCAGAAGGGCAAAGGUUGGACCGCCUUGUUUGGUGGCCCUAGCAGCUUCUAACAGUUUAGAGAUGUGCUGUGCCUGAUGUAGGAAAGGAAGGCUUGCUGUUUCCAGGUUCAGAUGCUUAUUUUCUGCUGGGCUUAGGAACUGCAUGGGAAAAAGAUGCUUAACUUGUAUAAAAGGGAAAGGAAAGAUAGGUCUGCUUGAAAAUAAACUGAGACUAAUAGUUAUAUAGGAGUGAAGGGAACUAGUGUCAUGUUGAAAGUUUAGAACUGUGAACCGAUAGGGGAAGGACAGGUCUGAUGAACUGGAAAACCGGAAGGAUUGAGACAGGUUGGGCAAAGAUUUGGGGGUUUUGUUUGUUUCUUGAAACUGGAAGAAGCAGCAGCCUUAUGGAAGGGAUCUGGCCUGAGGCAAAGAGAGUGAGUCAGGCUUGUGGGAAGGGGCUUGCACACCUCGGAUCAUUCUGAACAUUGACUAAAGCACUCUGCACUUUACACCCAGAAGUAAGUGCAGGUUGUUAAGUAGCCUUUGCUGUCAUCUGUGAGAUCACUGAGUAUUUCAUCCUCAUCAUCAUAUUCUACACAGAAGAGGGCAACCUUACUAGUGCUCUCAGCUACUUCAUGAACUUUGGUCCUGAAAAGAGUACCAGUGGAUGAAAAGCUGGAUGUGAACAGGCGAUGUGCACUUGCAACCCAGAAGGCCAACCUGGGCUGCAUCAGAAGAGAUGUGACCAGCAGGUCAAGAGAAGUAGUUCUCUACUCUGCUCUGGUGAGACCCCACCACCCCACCUGGAGUACUGCUUCCGGCUCUGGGGCCCUCUGCACAGGCAGGACAUGGACCUGUUUGGAGCAGCUCCAGAGGAGGACCACAAAAAUGAUCAUAGGGAUGGAGCACUUCUCCUACGAGGACAGGCUGAAGGAGUUGGGGUUGUUCAGCCCAGAGAAGAGAAGGCUUCAGGGAGACCUUUCAGUGCUUAAAGGGGGCCUACAGGAAAUAUGGGGACUAACUUUUUAGCUGGGCCUGUUGCAACAGAAGGGGUAAUGGCUUUAAACUGAACGAGGGAAGAUCUAGACUACAUAUAAGGAAGGAAUUUUUUACAAUGAGGAUGGUGAAAUACUGGCACAGGUCGCCCAGAAAAGUUGGGGAUGCCCCAUCCCUGGAGAUGAAAUUCAAGGUCAGGUUGGAUGGGGCUCUGACCAACUUGAUCUAGUUGAAGAUGUCGCUGCUCAUCGCAGGAGAGCUUGGACUAGGUAACCUUUAAAGGUCCCUUCCAGCCCAAACUAUUCUAUGAUUCUUUGAAAAGGAAUCCCAAAAUAACAGAGUAGUUGAGGUUGGAAGGUACCUCUGGAGAUCAUAUAAUCCAAGCAGGGUCAGGCAGAGCAGGUUUUUUAGGGCUGUGUCCAGUCAGUUUUUAAAUAUCUUCAAGGAUGGAGGCUCUGCAACCUGUCCUGUUUAGACAGAUUUUUCUGCGUUUUAUUUUGUGCCUGCUGCCUCCUGUCCUGUCACUGGACACAAGUGAGAGGAGCCUGCCUAUGUUGCCUUUACUCUCUCUUACCCCCAUCAGCAGGCAUUCAACUUUGAUUGGAUCACACACACCCAAGCUUUUUCUUCUCCAGGCUGCAGUCCCAGCUCUCUCAGCCUUUCUUCAUGUGAAAGAUUGUCUUUCUGGAAGUAAAUAAAAUGUUUCAACUAAUAUGGGGAUUGGAACUCAAAGAGAGAAAUGCUUUUGGGGGGAAAAGAACAAAGCAUAACCUACAACUUCACUGUAAAAUAUGUAAAAAGAACAUGAAGAUCACAAAAUGAAACACGAAGAAGUUAGAUAACUCCAGCCUUAAGAUUCUGCAAUCUUCAUUUGCCCCCUUGUGUUAGUGUGCUAUGAAGCAAUCUUCAUGAUCAUACAGAAUAUUUCAUCUAAUGAUAGGGUUGGCCUGACGUGUUGCUGAGCCAGGGAAGAUGUUUUUGGGCUGUGCAAGCAAGAAGCCUGAUGCUGCUAUAGGUGCUGCAGAAAUUGGUAGAAAAUUCUGUAGGCAGAGGAACAAAAGACAAAAGUAGAGGAUACCACAUCUUUAUGAUUAUUUCAAAUACGAAUUGGAUGUGAUGUUUAUUCUUCUUCCUUCUUUCUUCUGUGAUACUGAAUGAGUUAACAGGCUCUUCUCUGAGGAAGCACUGGCUCUUAACAUUUACAGCUGAGCUUCUUAGGAGUUGAGAUUUUGAGUUAAAUAUACUCAAAAGUUUGAGUUAAAAUACUAUGUAAAGUUACAUCUGUUGAUGGUCUCUUAUCUUCUUAAACAGGCUACCUUAAACUGUUGCACGCUAAUAUAGUUUCUACAGCUCCAUGUCAUAUUUAAAAUAGGGUAAUAAACACCUUGAAGGGCUGUUGGGUUUUUGUUUGUUUGGGGAAAAAAAAAAACACAACACCAAAAAAGCCCAAACCCAAAACACUCUUGUUUAGAAGCUGUACUACAGUAAUGCAUUUCUUCCUGGAAUUUUUUAUGGCAUUUAUUAGUUCUGAUCUCAGAGGAGGAGGUGAGUAUUUUAAAUCUCUUAAAGACCAGAUCUGCAAUCAACUUUCCUUGUUUACCAGCUCAAUCUGAAGAACCAAGUUUGCACAUUGUUGAUCCAUGGUCUAUUUGUCCAGUCCUGUGAACUUCGAAAUGCUCUGAUUUGCAUCCUGUAUUGUCACUUAUUCUUUUUCCAUAUGUAGCUAUUAUUAUUAAACAUUUGUUUGUCUCA